GCGGCGCGCUCCAGGGGGCGGUCCUGCGCGGCCGGCACCGCCCUCACUUCGCGCGCUCUUCUCCUCCCAGUCUACUCCGCGCUUCCUGCACUAAAGCGGUCUCUGCCGCGUCCCGUUCCCCGGCUCGCUCGUGCAGGCGGUGCCAUGGCGGCCUUCAGCAAGUACCUCACGGUGCGAAACUCCUCGCUGGCGGGGGCCGCGCUCCUGCUGCUCUGCCUGCUCCACAAGCGGCGCCGCGCCCUCGGCCUGCACGGUAAGAAAAAUGGAAAGCCACCAUUACAGAACAAUGAGAAAGAGGGAAAAAAAGAGCGAGCUGUGGUGGACAAGGUGUUUUUUUCAAGACUCACACGGAUUCUGAAAAUCAUGAUCCCUAGAACAUUUUGUAAAGAGACAGGUUACUUGAUGCUUAUUGCUGUUAUGCUGGUGUCUCGGACAUAUUGUGAUGUUUGGAUGAUUCAAAAUGGGACUCUCAUUGAAAGUGGUAUCAUUGGUCGUAGCAGAAAAGAUUUCCAGAGAUACUUAUUCAACUUCAUCGCUGCCAUGCCUCUUAUCUCUCUGGUUAAUAACUUCUUGAAGUUUGGGUUAAAUGAACUCAAACUGUGCUUCCGAGUAAGACUAACUAAAUACCUCUAUGAGGAAUAUCUCCAAGCUUUCACAUAUUAUAAAAUGGGAAAUCUGGACAACAGAAUAGCUAAUCCAGACCAGCUGCUUACACAAGAUGUAGAAAAGUUUUGUAACAGUGUGGUUGAUCUGUAUUCAAAUCUUAGUAAGCCAUUUUUAGACAUAGUUUUGUAUAUCUUCAAGCUAACGAGUGCGAUAGGAGCUCAGGGCCCAGCAAGCAUGAUGGCCUACUUGCUUGUUUCUGGGCUAUUGCUAACUCGACUUAGAAGACCCAUUGGUAAGAUGACAGUAACUGAGCAAAAGUAUGAAGGAGAGUAUAGAUACGUUAAUUCUCGGCUCAUCACAAACAGUGAAGAGGUUGCCUUUUACAAUGGGAAUAAAAGAGAAAAGCAGACAAUCUACUCAGUCUUUCGAAAACUGGUGGAGCACCUACAUAAUUUCAUCUUAUUUCGGUUUUCUAUGGGCUUCAUCGAUAGCAUCAUCGCCAAAUAUUUUGCCACUGUAGUUGGUUAUGUAGUUGUCAGUCGUCCUUUCCUAGAUUUGUCUCAUCCUCGACAUGUCAGGAGUACACAUUCAGAACUUCUGGAGGAUUACUACCAAAGUGGAAGAAUGCUUUUACGAAUGUCCCAAGCUUUGGGUCGAAUAGUCUUGGCUGGCCGUGAAAUGACUAGAUUGGCUGGUUUUACUGCUCGGAUUACAGAAUUAAUGCAAGUACUAAAGGAUUUAAAUCAUGGCAAAUAUGAACGCACAAUGGUCUCGCAACAGGAAAAGGGUACUGAAGGAGCGCAAGUCAUUCCCUUGAUACCUGGUGUUGGAGAAAUCAUUAAUGCUGAUAACAUUAUAAAAUUUGAUCAUGUUCCUUUAGCAACGCCAAAUGGAGAUAUCUUGAUCCAAGACCUUAAUUUUGAAGUUCAGUCUGGGGCCAACGUUCUAAUUUGUGGUCCAAAUGGCUGUGGGAAGAGUUCACUUUUCCGUGUUCUUGGUGAAUUAUGGCCUCUUUUUGGAGGACGCCUAACUAAACCUGAGAGAGGAAAGUUAUUUUAUGUUCCUCAGAGACCUUAUAUGACCCUAGGAACACUUCGAGACCAAGUGAUAUAUCCAGAUGGAAGAGAAGAUCAGAAAAGGAAAGGGAUAUCUGACCUAGUACUGAAGGAAUACUUAGAUAAUGUCCAGUUGGGUCAUAUCCUUGAACGUGAAGGAGGCUGGGACAGUGUUCAGGAUUGGAUGGAUGUUCUCAGUGGUGGAGAAAAGCAAAGAAUGGCGGAAGAACAGACUUGAAAGGUCUAUCCACCUAAAACAGUGAAUCUAUAAGAGUGAAGAUUGGUGUAAAACAAAUGAACCAAAGGAACUUUUGGGUAAAGAGAGUCAAGAUUUGAAUGUGAAGGAAUGGAAUAAUACUAUUGAAUAAAGGGAGGUCUGGUGAACACGUUUCUAAAAGUUUCUUGAAAAAAGUCAGUGUAAAUGCAGGAAAAUAAGAUUAUUAUUCUGUUUUUUAAUGGUGAAAAAACUUAUUUACGGUAUGAUUUCCACAGACUUCAGUAUCAGGUGAGAAUCGACUCUGCGCAAGGCACUGAGCCAGGUGCCUGCCCUUAUAGUCUAUUUAGGAGAUAGAUAUUCUCAACUAGCUGUAAAGAAGGCAGUCUUCAGUUAUAGCUAUUCAGAAAGUGAAUGGGAUAAUGAUGAGGGAAAGAUUGGUUUGAAUGGCAGAUCCUAUUUAAUUAUUCCAGCAGCUCUGUGAAGUAAGGUACAGACAAGGGAAAGACGUGGAGACCCUAGACGGCUUACUAAUUCCACACAGCUACGGCGAUCCAAGGGCAGGUCAGAACUCUUGCUCUUGACCAGAGGGUGUACAGCCUUCCACGUGAAGGUGCACUGUCUAUCCAGUUCUCUCCUCGCGUUGUCCCUUGAAGUCUCAAGUGACGUUUCCCUCCAUUGCACCCAUUUGGGCCCAGCCACCAUCAGCCAGGUUGCUCCACCUAAUGUCAGCAGUUGGGGUGUCUUAUGUCUCUGACCAAUGCUUAUCUUUCCCACUCCACUAUCUGCUCUUCCUAUUUAGCAACAGGUGUUCUUAUUUUGAAUUAUGAAGUAUGUAUGAUAAAAAAGUUGGAAUAUUUAUAAAGUAUAAAGAAGGGCCAAAAUCCCCUUACCAGAGAUACCACUGUCAUAAAAUUUUUAGGUUUUUUUAAUCCAUUUUUAUAAAUCUUUUUCUUUUACCUAAUUGGCAACUUAUUCCGCUUCUUCAAGAUCUUCACUGAGAUCUCUUGAGUUUUGAUCCCUCUCUUUUCUUACAAUUGAUCACUCCCCUUCCGACUCUGCCUCCUUUCCUGUCCAGUACAGACUUAAUCAUCCAGGGCCUGGCUUGGGGCCUAGCACACAGGAGAUACUCAGGAGAUGUUUCUUAAAGGAAUGAACAAUGGUCCCUUCCCCUUUACUUCCUUUUCCACUGUUUGCUUCCUCAUGUUACCUAAACCCCAAACCAAGAGCAAUUGUUUGCCUUGGCAUUUCUGUACAUAGACUUCUGAGCACAGCUGAAAAAAUCAGAGUGGUAUGAUGUGGUGCCACCACACUUUCUGGGUUUCCAAUCAUACAGGGGCUCGCAGCAUGGCUUGGCCAUCAUUUUACUUAUUUUUGCCCCUCUCGAUGAGAAUCAUUUAAAAACUACCAACCUCAGGCCUUCUACCUCAUUACCUACUCUAUAUUCUCAGCAGAAUAACUCAUCUCCUGCUUCUUAAAGAAAAAAGAGAAGCUGUUGUUUCAGUUAAGUGAUGGGUAAUUUUUGUUGAGUGCUUUAUAGAUGAUAGACAAUGUGCUAAGCACUUUAGACGGGUUAUCUCCUUUAAUUCUCACAACAGUCCUGUGAUAAGAAGUGUGAAUACCCCAUUUUACAGAGGAAAUUGAACCGUAGUACAGUUAAGUAGCCUGCCAACCAAAGACAGCUAGUAAUAGUUAAAACUGGUGGUGUGGGAUAGGGGGAGGCUUGUCAAGCUCAGGCAGCAGUGUGACCACAGUGUUCAUAUAGCUACUCACUGUACAGUCUUCUUGUAGUGUGUUCUCAAGUAGCUGACAGCAUAGUGGGAGAGAGAGACAUGGUGAGAAAAUUUCCACAUGAUGUGAUGGCAAGAUUAUUUUAUCAUAAGCCCCAGUUUGCCAUUUUGGAUGAAUGCACCAGUGCAGUGAGUGUGGAUGUGGAAGG